GCACCGGAAUCUUUCCCGCUCCUUGCUGCCUCGUGCUGGUGUGGGGACAGGUGGUGCCACAGUGUGAGCAGAGGAUAUCCAGACGGGCCGUCCAUUUGCCUUGGGGCCUGUCCCUACAACUCUGCCACAUUU
rnacentral:snoRNA from 12 species